rnacentral:rRNA from 1 species
CCUACGGGUGGCAGCAGUGAGGAAUAUUGGUCAAUGGACGAGAGUCUGAACCAGCCAAGUAGCGUGAAGGAUGACUGCCCUAUGGGUUGUAAACUUCUUUUAUAUGGAAAUAAAAUGUUCCACGUGUGGGAUUUUGUAUGUACCAUAUGAAUAAGGAUCGGCUAACUCCGUGCCAGCAGCCGCGGUACUACGGAGGAUCCGAGCGUUAUCCGGAUUUAUUGGGUUUAAAGGGAGCGUAGGUGGAUUGUUAAGUCAGUUGUGAAAGUUUGCGGCUCAACCGUAAAAUUGCAGUUGAUACUGGCAGUCUUGAGUACAGUAGAGGUGGGCGGAAUUCGUGGUGUAGCGGUGAAAUGCUUAGAUAUCACGAAGAACUCCGAUUGCGAAGGCAGUUCACUGGACUGCAACUGACACUGAGGCUCGAAAGUGUGGGUAUCAAACAGGAUUAGAUACCCCAGUAGUC